GACGAACGCUGGCGGCGUGCCUAAUACAUGCAAGUAGGACGCUGAAGGAGGAGCUUGCUUCUCUGGAUGAGUUGCGAACGGGUGAGUAACGCGUAGGUAACCUGCCUGGUAGCGGGGGAUAACUAUUGGAAACGAUAGCUAAUACCGCAUAAUAGUAGAUGUUGCAUGACAUUUGCUUAAAAGGUGCAAUUGCAUCACUACCAGAUGGACCUGCGUUGUAUUAGCUAGUUGGUGGGGUAACGGCUCACCAAGGCGACGAUACAUAGCCGACCUGAGAGGGUGAUCGGCCACACUGGGACUGAGACACGGCCCAGACCCCUACGGGAGGCAGCAGUAGGGAAUCUUCGGCAAUGGACGGAAGUCUGACCGAGCAACGCCGCGUGAGUGAAGAAGGUUUUCGGAUCGUAAAGCUCUGUUGUAAGAGAAGAACGAGUGUGAGAGUGGAAAGUUCACACUGUGACGGUAUCUUACCAGAAAGGGACGGCUAACUACGUG
rnacentral:rRNA from 1 species